ensembl:lncRNA ADAMTS9-AS2 ADAMTS9 antisense RNA 2
AUCUUGGAAUCUAGGGGCACUCCAGGCUCUGGGCUCAGACGGCUGGCUUCUGCCUACCCGAGCCUUAACCUUUCAAGGACCAGAAGGAUUCCAGAGCUCUUGCCCUAGGUCCUGGGGCAGCGAUGACUCACUGCAGCACCCCCUCCCACUUCGCCAAGCUGCCGUCUCCGCCCACCCCCAAACAAUCUCGACAGCGCAUUUCGGGAGCCACGGCUCCGGGCGCUUUGCUGGGGGCUAAAGGGGUUUAUCCCUUUCCUUGAAUCCCAGCAGGCUAGAACUACCCCCUCCCAGUCUUCAGGCUUGCCACGCUCUCCACCCGAUCCUUCCAUUGAAAGGCAGAGAAGGAAGGAUGUGCUUGGGAACUUUAAGACCCACGAACGACAGCGCACUGAUGGAGCAGCCCAGUGUCUGGGGCAAAGUCCUCGAGGUUCAUUCAUUCAGGAAGCCUCUGACCAGCCUUUACCAUGCGCUGAGUGAGAAGCUGAGGAUAAGGAAAGAGCAAGACCCCCAAGAAACCCUGAUGUCUGGCUGAAAGCCGAAGCAUGACGCAACUUUGCUAUAUUUCUCUCCAACAAGGAUUUGUAUAUUUUCGCUUUCUCCUCAAGUAACACCUGGACCUGCUCCUUUCCCUUCAAACGCUGAGGGCUCAGUCUCCAAGUUCCUUUAUGAAACAGGGUGUACCAUCAGAGACGCAGGAGACUUCAGAAAUGAAGAUGCAAAGACAACAGGGGAAACCAUAUAUGUUUAUGGACAGUCAUGCCAAAGUAUGAUUGGAAGACAAAAAGCUAGACCCACCUAAAAGUGAAGUUACAUAUGUGGAUGUUUAUAUGAAGAAUAAAGGACACAAGAAAGGAUUCAAGAAAUGAAAAACGGUGGAGGAAGAUAAACAUUUCAAGAUUCAGAUCACGUUGCUGCCCGAAUUCAGAGUGUCUCUAAGGAAAUAGCUAGAAGGGGUUUUCAACUCUCAGCUUCCUUCCAAGGAAUAAAGAAUUUGCUGUGAGCAAAAAAACUUGCCAAGAAAAUGCCAAUUUGUGUCACACUAACAUCUUUCUUAAGGCUGAACGUGGACUUCGGAAAUGUGAACCUUUGGCUCUGGUGAACACAGUCAGCCUUGAGGGUUUGAAAUUAGGUUCUUCAGAAGGACGGAAGGAAAUCUGAGAGAUCAACUUAGACACCCACUAAUUAGAAAAUGCACCGACACCAGAGACUUGUUUGCAAUGAGUGGUGGGGUCAACCUUUCCAUGGCACCUGACGUGAACUUAGAAAAAUGGAAUCCCUGAAAACGUUUGGAAAUGAUUUUAUCGGAGACAGAGAGAGACAGCAACUGCUGGAGGGAGAAAGAGAGGACAAAAGGCAAACCAAAGUGAGAUGCUGUAAUCGAGAAGACUUGGCGAGAACAAAUGGAAGAACGUUUGAACUUGCUUGUUGCAGACAAAACAACCUUCAAAGGCUACCUUUUUCCUAUUUGAUGGGAUUUUUGGCCAAUUCACUGCUCACUAACAUCUCCAUCAAAGGGUAACUGGGUUGGGGCACCGGGUGUGGGAAGGAGAGGAAGGAAACGAGAAUCGGCAGUUUCCAUUACCUGCUAGCAACUCUGGAAAAACACACAUUGUAAAAUAAGAAUUCUUCAAAGACAACUUGAAGACAUCUGGGAAUUCUGAAGCCUGAAAAUUCCAUGAGUUCAUAGCAGUGUUCACUAAUUCCACUGAUCUAAAGACAAAAAGGAGAGUCAACUGCGUGCCCAAACUCAUUUCUGAUGAUUUCUUCCAUCCUAACUUUUCUGCCUCUCUGGGGGUGGUUAUGCCUGUGAAAAACAUUGAAGCUGUCAGGAACAGAGUCGGCUUUCAAGAUUGGAAUGUCAAAGUAGAGUCUUCUUUUCCUCAGACCAGAAGGGGCUUGGUUGGGUAAGAGUUUCCAGAUCUAAAUGGAGACAGGACUGGGAUAUAGGAGCUUGUACGGAUAAACAACACAAACACCUUGGGUAUCAGCCCAAGAAAAAUAAAAAACAUAUGUCUGCUACACAGACUGCUUGUCUACCUAUGUAUCAACACUUGUUGAACAUAAUGUGAAUGAAUCUCAAAAAUAUUUUGCUGAGUAAAAGUGCCCAAUCCCCAAAAACUACACAUCAUAUGACUCAAUUUGUUUGAAGAUCUAAAACAGUUGAAGAAACCGAAGCACAAAGAAUAACUUGUCCAAGAUCACAGAGUUUAGGAAGUAAGGAAGCAGGGCUUUGAGCUUUGCAUCAAGUGAUGACCCAUAAAUGCAAAUGGAAUACAACAGGAGUGGGUCCCUAAAGUCCCACCCAGAGAAUGCCCUUCUGCCAAAAAAUUUCGGAUUGAAACAGCAAAAACACCUAAGCAACUGAUAGUCAGGUAUGGUAUUUUUCGAUGUCCAACUAUAGAACUGAAAAGAUCUUUUCUAUGGUUAGUCUACACGAAUUUCUGUUAAAGAAGGAACAAAUGCCAAACGUAGGGCAGGGUACUGUUUGACAGUAAAGAAGGAAAUUUUAGAAUUGCUUUCUGGUGGUAUCACUUAUUGCUUAUUGUUCUCCACCAAAAAGCAACUUUUAAAAAUCAGCAAUGAUUGAAGACUGUGGCUUGCUAAAGAGGACAGAUUUUUCUGGUCUAUUAUUCUGGAGUGGGGGCAGAGUGGAUGUUUGCUUAGCAGGCAGAGAGCUCAGUACUUUACAUGUGGCAUGGCAUGGUAGAUAAGGUUAGGAAUUAUGUCCUUUUUUUGUUUGUUUUUUAAGAUUUGGAACCUAGGCUCAAAAUGUGCUAAAGGUCACAUAGCUGCUAGGUGCUAAAGUGAUGAUUCAAAUCCCUGGUUUAUCUGACUACAACAGCUCUUGCUCCUUCCAUGAUCCUACCAUUGCAAUCCCACCAUAGAAAUCCUAAAUACAAAUAAGGACAGAUAUCAUUGUCCAAAA